rnacentral:rRNA from 1 species
AUUGAACGCUGGCGGCAGGCCUAACACAUGCAAGUCGAACGGUAACAGGGAUCAGCUUGCUGAUUCGCUGACGAGUGGCGGACGGGUGAGUAAUGUCCGGGAAACUGCCUGAUGGAGGGGGAUAACUACUGGAAACGGUAGCUAAUACCGCAUAACGUCGCAAGACCAAAGAGGGGGACCUUCGGGCCUCUUGCCAUCGGAGGUGCCCAGAUGGGAUUAGCUAGUAGGUGGGGUAAAGGCUCACCUAGGCGGCGAUCCCUAGCUGGUCUGAGAGGAUGACCCGCCCCACUGGAACUGGGGAACGGUCCAAACUCCUAAGGGAGGCAGCCGUGGGGAAUAUUGGACAAAGGGCGCAAGCCUGAUGCAGCCAUGCCGCGUGUAUGAAGAAGGCCUUCGGGUUGUAAAGUACUUUCAGCGGGGAGGAAGGGAGUAAAGUUAAUACCUUUGCUGAUUGACGUUACCCGAAGAAGAAGCACCGGCUAACUCCGUG